AAUCCCCUUUCUUAUCUUAUUAUCAAUGUUGCCACGUUGGGCUUGAAACCUUGAUCGUGCAUUUCAUGAAAAAGCCCCAAACCUUUUCUAGAUCACACAUUUUAUCAAACACUUUCGCUGCAUCCUCCAUUAACCCACAAGUUGUGUAUAAUUCAACAACACCAAUUUGCAUGGAGCUAAAACAGUGAAACCCAAUAAUUAUAAUGCCAUUAUGAACACACUGGCCAAGUUUAAGGUCUCAAAAAUUCGAAGAAGCCUUGAGUAAAGGCACAAAAGUAUACUCAUCAAGCCAAAUGCCUCGAUUUUUCACAGAGGAAAACAAACUUAAAGACCCUUCGGUCCACAUAAAGAGUAAGGAUUGGAUUCUGAGAUCCACAAACAGAAACAAAAUAAGCAAGGAUUUGGUUGAAUUGGUGAAGGGCAUGGCCAAGGAAAUGGGCGUGGAAAAAUAGUCUAACUGGGAGAACUCAGUGAAUGCAAAUAAAACCAUUUCUCUACUAUUGCCUUCUCCUCCUCCAAAACUGAUGGGGACGAUGAUGACUCGGUGCUAGAGCUUCGGAAAAAGAGUGACUCUAAGGACAAUGGAUUCAUUGGAUUGUGCAUCAGUGAGUCAAAGUGAUGAUUUUGGCGGAGAGAGAAGCGAGUUGGUGAGUUUUGGUGAGAGGUGAGGCCAAGUAUGACUUCGAGUUUUUCUCAUGGUGUGUACGUGUUCUUGGAGCUCGAAAGGUAAGCAGCGUGAUUGUGAAGUUCUGAAGGUAGGCAGUGAUGAUAACUCCG
rnacentral:misc_RNA from 1 species